GAGUGAGGAGAUAAUUUGCCCAUUGCAGGAGAGUUCGUUUCCUACCUUAGCUUGAGAGGAAACGCUCCUUAAGAGGAGCCAAACCACGGCAAUGGUCACGGCCAUGGCGGUAGCUUGUCCUCCUCACCUCUCUCUCGGCUUUGCGCCUCGAGUGCGCACCAAGAUUCACUGCCGCCGCCAUGCCCUCCGAGCGAGUCGGCACGAGUCCGGCACGAGGACGCUUUUCUUGUCCUGUCCUCUUCCUUGUGGUCGGAGAGUCAUCAAUUAUCGCUCAGCCUCCCACGCGGAGGAAAUUCCGGCGCCGGUGCCGGCGUCGACGGAGGACGAGUCGUCCUUUUCGGUCCUGGCCGCCAUCACGAGCCUGCACAACGAUAUUGUGGUUGUGGACACGCCGGCUUCGAGGUUUCUGCUCCUCGAUUCCACCCAUAACAUUCACAGCAUGUUAAACAAGGAGCAGUUAUUGACGGGAUCAUAUUGGGAUGAUUUUGCCAGUCUUCCUGCUAUUGUUCCAGAAGGUCCAAUUGCAAUCUUAGGCUUGGGUGGUGGAACAGCAGCACAUAUAAUGCUUAAAUUGUGGCCGAACUUGCACCUGGAAGGUUGGGAGAUUGAUGAAAUACUGAUUGACAUGUCAAGGGAGUAUUUUGGUCUGUCUGAAUUAGAGAAAUGCACAUCAGCUGGUGGUUCUCUUUCUGUUCACAUUGGUGAUGCAUUUUCUGAAUCUGUGAGAGUUCCAGGAGGUUUUGCUGGAAUCAUUGUGGAUUUAUUUUCCGAUGGAAAAAUUCUGCCGCAGCUAAAAGAGGUCACUACAUGGUUAGAUAUCGAGAGAAAAUUGAUGCCCCAGGGUCGUAUCAUGGUAAAUUGUGGUGGAGCUCAUGCUGAAGUAUCUGGAAGUGGUGAUGGAACAGCCAAUAUGGAUGGUUCCUGGAUUCAGAAUUCUACUAUUAAGGCACUUCGCCAAGCAUUUCCUGGAAAGCUAAGCUGGAAAAGAAUAGCAGAGAAAGAUAGUGACAACUAUCUUGCUCUCACUGGUCCAUUGCCAGACUUAGAUGCCUGGUCAGCUGCUGUGCCUCAUCAACUGAGCAUGAAUGUGAAAGAUUGGAGAACCUGCAAGCUUGCUUCAUAAAAUUUUCCAGUGUGACCAGCUUCAUUGUCCAUUUGGCAAUGAACAAGUUAUAUCAUUUGAAGAAACUCACCCAAGGAAACUAAUUCUUAUGGGCUUUGAGGUUACAUCUGUUACUGGAAAAACUUGGUGCUGACUCAAGGAGAUAGGAGGGAGUGCAUAUUUUAGGCUAGAAUUGUUGAUUUUUAGUCUCUUUCUAGUAACAACUAUUUUAAAUUUUAUUUCAAAAUUUGAUUAGUGAUGCAGCUCACAAGAAGCGAGUGCACUGUAGUGGCUAAAGUUGUAGACUUGGAAGGAUCUUCCACAUUAUAUAUUUCAUCAUCUGAUUCAUUGCCAGUCACAUUUUCUCUAUGUUAAAUCCAGUACUACGAUGAAUUCAAAAGGAUGUGAAACACUACCUCAUAUGCAUGGUGCUUGACUGUGUGCUGCAACUCCGGUUUCGGCUGCGACAAAUCAGAUUUUGUCCAUGUUUACUAUGAAGUCAAAAGGCUGUGAAACACUACCUCAUAUGCAUGGUCAGUCCUUCUUGACUUCAGAUUUACAUUGAAAUAAGAUAGAUGUUUGGAAAACAUAUUUGGUUUCUCAAUUCUCUAGUGGGUUCUCAUGUUGGACAUCUAUCAGCCUCCAUCUCAUCUUGUCCUGCAUCCAUGACAUUUGUUGGAAGGCCAGGAUUUUGAUCAUGCAUAUAUCAUGAAAUAUACUUCAAGCAUCUUAAACAGGGUCAAUUUUGCCUUGUUUCUUCAUAAGUUCCUCUAGUUAUUCUUGUCAAUAGGUGCUUGACUGUGUGCCGCAACUCCGGUUUCGGCUGCGACGAAUCAGAUUUUGUCCAUGUUUACUAUGAAGUCAAAAGGCUGUGAAACACUACCUCAUAUGCAUGGUCAGUUCCUUCUUGACUUCAGAUUUACAUUGAAAUAAGAUAGAUGUUUGGAAAACAUAUUUGGUUUCUCAA